rnacentral:rRNA from 1 species
UACGAAGGGGCUAGCGUUGCUCGGAAUUACUGGGCGUAAAGCGCACGUAGGCGGCUUUCUAAGUCGGGGGUGAAAUCCUGGAGCUCAACUCCAGAACUGCCUUCGAUACUGGAGAGCUCGAGUCCGGGAGAGGUGAGUGGAACUGCGAGUGUAGAGGUGAAAUUCGUAGAUAUUCGCAAAGAACACCAGUGGCGAAGGCGGCUCACUGGCCCGGUACUGACGCUGAGGUGCG